rnacentral:rRNA from 1 species
GGCUUAACACAUGCAAGUCGUGCGAGAAAGUUCUUCGGAUAUGAGUAGAGCGGCGGACGGGUGAGUAACGCGUAGGAAUCUACCUAGUAGAAGGGGAUAGCCCGGGGAAACCCGGAUUAAUACCGUAUACCUCCUUCGGGAGACAGAAGGCCUCUCUUUGAAGCUUUCGCUACUAGAUGAGCCUGCGUAAGAUUAGCUUGUUGGUGAGGUAAAGGCUCACCAAGGCUACGAUCUUUAGCUGGUCUGAGAGGACGAUCAGCCACAUUGGGACUGAGACACGGCCCAGACUCCUACGGGAGGCAGCAGUGGGGAAUAUUGGACAAUGGGCGCAAGCCUGAUCCAGCCAUACCGCGUGUGUGAAGAAGGCCUUCGGGUUGUAAAGCACUUUAAGCAGGGAGAAAAAGUUAUAAGCUAAUACCUUAUGACCUUGAUGUUACCUGCAGAAUAAGCACCGGCUAAUUCCGUGCCAGCAGCCGCGGUAAUACGGAUGGUGCAAGCGUUAAUCGGAAUUACUGGGCGUAAAGCGCGCGUAGGUGGUUUGUUAAGUUGGAUGUGAAAGCCCUGGGCUCAACCUAGGAACUGCAUCCAAAACUAACUCACUAGAGUACGAUAGAGGGAGGUAGAAUUCAUAGUGUAGCGGUGGAAUGCGUAGAUAUUAUGAAGAAUACCAGUGGCGAAGGCGGCCUCCUGGAUCUGUACUGACACUGAGGUGCGAAAGCGUGGGUAGCGAACAGGAUUAGAUACCCUGGUAGUCCACGCCGUAAACGAUGACAACUAGCUGUUGGGAGACUAUGUCUUCCAGUGGCGCAGCUAACGCUUUAAGUUGUCCCCCUGGGGAGUACGGCCGCAAGGGCUAAAACUCAAAUAAAAUUGACGGG